rnacentral:rRNA from 1 species
UACGUAGGGGGCGAGCGUUGUCCGGAAUUACUGGGCGUAAAGAGAGCGUAGGCGGCACUGUAAGUUUCAUGUGAAAUACCCGGGCUUAACUUGGGGGUUGCAUGGAAAACUGCAGAGCUUGAGUACGGGAGAGGCAAGCGGAAUUCCUAGUGUAGCGGUGAAAUGCAUAGAUAUUAGGAGGAACACCAGUGGCGAAGGCGGCUUGCUGGACCGAAACUGACGCUGAGGCUCGAAAGCGUGGGGAGCAAACAGG